rnacentral:rRNA from 1 species
AUUGAACGCUGGCAGCAGGCUUAACACAUGCAAGUCGAGCGCAGGAAACUGACGGAACUCUUCGGAGGGAAGGCAGUGGAAUGAGCGGCGGACGGGUGAGUAACACGUAAGGAACCUGCCUCAAGGAUUGGGAUAACUCCGAGAAAUCGGAGCUAAUACCGGAUAGUUCCACGGACCGCAUGGUCCGCUGAUGAAAGGCGCUCCGGCGUCACCUUGAGAUGGCCUUGCGGUGCAUUAGCUAGUUGGUGGGGUAACGGCCCACCAAGGCGACGAUGCAUAGCCGACCUGAGAGGGUGAUCGGCCAACCUGGGACUGAGACACGGCCCAGACUCCUACGGGAGGCAGCAGUAGGGAAUCUUCCACAAUGGACGAAAGUCUGAUGGAGCAACGCCGCGUGAGUGAUGAAGGUUUUCGGAUCGUAAAACUCUGUUGUAAGGGAAGAACACGUACGAGAGGAAAUGCUCGUACCUUGACGGUACCUUACGAGAAAGCCACGGCUAACUACGUGCCAGCAGCCGCAGUAA